rnacentral:rRNA from 1 species
GGAUGCGAUCAUAUGGGCACUAGAUCACCGGAUCCCAUCAGAAUUCCGAAGUUAAGUGUGCUUGGGCAAGAGUAGUACUAGGAUGGGUGACCUCCUGGGAAGUCCUCGUGUUGCAUUCC